UACGUAGGGCGCAAGCGUUAUCCGGAAUUAUUGGGCGUAAAGAGCUCGUAGGCGGUUUGUCGCGUCUGCCGUGAAAGUCCGGGGCUCAACUCCGGAUCUGCGGUGGGUACGGGCAGACUAGAGUGAUGUAGGGGAGACUGGAAUUCCUGGUGUAGCGGUGAAAUGCGCAGAUAUCAGGAGGAACACCAGUGGCGAAGGCGGUGCUCUGGGCCGGAACUGACGCUGAUGAGCGAAAGCGUGGGGAGCGAACAGG
rnacentral:rRNA from 1 species